UAACUCAGUGGUAGAGUGCCACCUUCACACGGUGGAAGUCACAAGUUCGAACCUUGUACCGCCCACCA
rnacentral:tRNA from 1 species